UACGGAGGGUGCAAGCGUUAUCCGGAUUCACUGGGUUUAAAGGGUGCGUAGGUGGGUUGGUAAGUCAGUGGUGAAAUCUCCAGGCUUAACUUGGAAACUGCCAUUGAUACUAUCAGUCUUGAAUACCGUGGAGAUGAGCGGAAUAUGUCAUGUAGCGGUGAAAUGCUUAGAUAUGACAUAGAACACCAAUUGCGAAGGCAGCUCACUACCCGAAUAUUGACUCUGAGGCACGAAAGCGUGGGGAUCAAACAGG
rnacentral:rRNA from 1 species